AACGAACGCUGGCGGCAUGCCUAACACAUGCAAGUUGAGCGAGAACCAAGAAGCUUGCUUUUUGGGGACAGCAGCGCACGGGUGAGUAACGCGCGGGUAACGUACCCUAGGGUUGGGGAUAACUCACCGAAAGGUGAGCUAAUACCGAAUGUGUUCCUAUCAGAUGCGUCUUUUAGGAAGAAAGCGGGGCAACCCGCGCCCUUGGAUCGGCCCGCGUUCCAUCAGUUUGUUGGUGGGGUAAUGGCCUACCAAGACUACGACGGAUAGCUGGUCUGAGAGGAUGAUCAGCCACACUGGGACUGAGACACGGCCCAGACUCCUACGGGAGGCAGCAGUGGGGAAUAUUGGUCAAUGGGCGAAAGCCUGAACCAGCAAUGCCGCGUGAGUGAUGAAGGCCUCGG
rnacentral:rRNA from 1 species